CGUCCACGAAGACGCCGUUCUUGCCGAGGCAGCGCAGGUAGAAGUGCGGCUCCUGGAAGAUGACCUCAGCAGUUUCCUGGGCCUGAACCUCCAUCCUGCCGCCCUCCCGUAGGAAGGUACAAAGCACCCAAACGGAGGUGUCCCUGCUGUGACAUGGAGUUGGCCUGAAGGUGCUGCCACCCCGUGCCCUGUGUUCCUCUUGGAGCCAUCCCUUCACUCAACCCCGGCUCCAUCGAGUCCCCGGGGGCAGUGCCCGAGCCAGGGCGGUGAGGCCGGCGCCUGCCCUCCUGACCCGUCAGUCCUGUGCGUCCCGGCCCCCAGGCCUCACUUAGAAAUAAAUGGAGAGCCUUCUGCCCAAAUGACAGGCCUCAGGGUUCUUGUCCCGCGGAGCGCACGGUGCGCACGGGCUGGCUCCGGCCUCGCCCCGCGUGGACACCCACGGGCCGUCGGCAAGUCCUGUCUCCUAAGCAGCCAUCGUGGGCGACAGCGACGGCUCCAACAGAGGGGGCCAGGGAAGGGGCCGUGACAGGCCAGUGAGGAACGAAGACCCGAGAAGCUGAAUUCUCCCGCUCUGCAGGCCGAGGGCAUGCCCGCGCCGCCUCCCAGGCGCGUCGAACAGGAAAAGGAAAAGCUGGCAAGGAGAGCCUCCCGCACGGGCUCCUACCCUGACGGAGCCUCUGAAGCUGGUGCAGAAACGACAGGGACUGAAUUACCUCCAAGGCGCCCGGCGCUGGGCUGUCCUGGGAGAGGCCCGUGAGGGCCCAUUGAAAAGAAGCGGCGAGCCGUCUGGAGGAACCGUCCAUUCAAAAAAGCCAAAGCAUGCGAGCAGUCCUUCACCAAAGACACACGCGUGACGGACAAGCACGUGAAAGGCAUCUCAGCGCCAUUAGUGGUUAGGGGGCGGAUUGGACGCGCCGAGUGCCCCUCCCCUGGUGCCGGAAGGCUCCGGGUCCCACCAUCUGGGAAACACUUGAGCCGUUUCUUAUCCACUAACUUACCCUGUGACCGCGGUCCUGUCCCUAGGUGUGUUCCCAAGGGACGUGAAAAGCGUGCCAACACCGACCUGUACACCGAUGCGAGCAGUGGGUUAAUUAAUGUAUCACCAACUCCUGGGGACAAGCUGACCGUCACAGCGGCCUCGGCCCCGCCACAGGGAGGAACACUACGCAGCCGGGAAAAGGAGCGGAUACCCCCCCCUCCGCAUCACGGGGCACCCCACGUGCUCUCACUUGUGGGGCGUCCUAGAGAAAGCAGAACUACGGAGACGGAAACAGAUGGGUGGUUUGCCAGGGCGGGAGGUCUGGGGAGAGGCUGGCCACGUGACACGUGGGAAGUGUCUUUGGAGGGUGACCGUGGUGGCGCCAGGAGGACUCUCCGUAUCUGUCAGGAGCAGCAGACGUGUUCACUAAAAGCAGUGGCUUUUGCUCUCUGUAAAUCAGCCUUAAUUUAAAAGUUGUUUAAAAAAACUCUAGCUUGUGCUUAUAGACCCAAAACAAGUAUUAAGAACCGUGCGGCACGACCGGGAAGCCACGAGCUACAUUAAUUCUCUAGGUAACAGGGAACAAAGCUAGACACCUUUCGGGGCGGGGUCUGCAGCCCGUGUGGCUAGUGGCUCCCGCACUGGCCGGGGCAGAGGGGGACACCCCGUCGUGGUGGCGCUGCCCGAGGGGGGCUGGCGGCCACCUCUGCCCCUCCUCCCUCAUCUGCCCGAGUCGGGGAAUCACGCCAGGCAGCCAGGGCCACCAGGAAGCGCAGUCCGGGUCAGCCCUGCCGUGAGCCCCAGAGCCUCGCCUGGACUCGCAUUCCCGGGGGGACGUGCAAGGCGGCGGGAGAGCCUGUGGACAGGAUCCUCCUGGAAACCCCAGCUCGGCCCUGCCUGCGUGUGGGGGCCCAGGAGGGGAGCCCCAUAUCUGAGAGCCUCUGGCCCACACACACACGGGCGUCCACGCACAGAGCACCUUGAGGGCCUACAGUUCAAAAAUUCAGGGUGUCCCCCAAAAUGUACGCACACACGUUGAGUAACUGUACUGGCGGGGUCUGUUCAAGUCGACCUCAUUUUCACAACUGAGCCUCCAGCUGUCACGGGGUGUGCACAUUUUGGGGACACCCUGUAUUGGACCAACGAGCUUCCUUUUCCGGUCACAGUGUCACUUCCUGCUGCUGCCGCCGCCUCCUCGGGUCCUUCCUGUGGCCCCUUCCUGCUGGGUCCCCAGGGUUCCACACGGCACAGGGACGGGACCUGGGGCCAUUCCCGAGAGGCCUGCAUGUCACCGCUGCCAAGGACAGGCGGGCAGGCUGAUCCUGCGGAAGCACUGCCCGGCCCUGUGAGCCCCCGGCACCGGGAGGGUGGGCCCCGGGCCCCGGCCCCGACAGGCGGCUUGUUCUUCGGCCGCAGCCUCGGCCUCUGCCAUCAGAGCUCCGCGCUGCUCGGCCAGGUGUCACGGCCAGGGGAGUCUUCGCCGCCACGGACACCUGUCGCCACCGGGCGUGGAGUGGUGGGGCUGCCCCGGCAGUGAUACACCCACAAGGCAGGCUCCCCGCCGCGGGGCUCAGCGGUUGAGUGUGGACCUAUGACCCAGGAGGUCAGGGGUCGAUUCCCGGUCAGGGCACAGGCCCGGUUGCAGGCUCCAUCCCCAGUGUGGGACGUGCAGGAGGCAGCCAAUCCAUGCUCUCUCUCAUGGAUGUUUCUCUCCCCUUCCCUUCCUCUUUGAAAUCAAUAAAAACAUUAAAAAAAUAUUAUUUUUUUAAAAAGA